rnacentral:rRNA from 1 species
GGAAGGGAUAAGCGCUGAAAGCAUAUAAGCGCGAAACCCACCACAAGAUGAGAUUUCUUUAAAGGGUCGUGGGAGAUUACCACGUCGAUAGGCUACAGGUGUAAAGGCAGUAAUGUCAUAGCCGAGUAGUACUAAUAACCCGUAGGCUUAUUGUACA